rnacentral:tRNA from 2 species
GUGCCUAUGGUGUAACGGUUAACACUCGAGCUUGUGGAGCUCGUAAUCAGGGUUCAAUUCCCUGUAGGCACCCA